UACGGGGGGGGCAAGCGUUGUUCGGAAUUACUGGGCGUAAAGGGCGCGUAGGCGGCCUGCUAAGUCGGAUGUGAAAUCCCUCGGCUCAACCGAGGAACUGCAUCCGAUACUGGCGGGCUUGAAUCCGGGAGAGGGAUGUGGAAUUCCAGGUGUAGCGGUGAAAUGCGUAGAUAUCUGGAGGAACACCGGUGGCGAAGGCGGCAUCCUGGACCGGCAUUGACGCUGAGGCGCGAAA
rnacentral:rRNA from 1 species